rnacentral:rRNA from 1 species
AGAGUUUGAUCCUGGCUCAGAAUCAACGCUGGCGGCGCGCUUAACACAUGCAAGUCGCACGAGAAAGUGGAGCAAUCCAUGAGUAAAGUGGCGUACGGGUGAGUAACACGUGGAUCAUUUACCUCUUGGUGGGGAAUAACCCUGGGAAACCGGGGCUAAUACCGCAUAAGCCUGCGAAGGGAAAGCAGCAAUGCGCCGAGAGAGGAGUCCGCGGCCGAUUAGCUUGUUGGUAGGGUAAUGGCCUACCAAGGCAAUGAUCGGUAGCCGGCCUGAGAGGGCACACGGCCACACUGGCACUGAAACACGGGCCAGACUCCUACGGGAGGCAGCAGUGGGGAAUCUUGCACAAUGGGGGCAACCCUGAUGCAGCGACGCCGCGUGAGCGAUGAAGCCCUUCGGGGUGUAAAGCUCUUUCGGCAGGAAAGAUAAUGACGGUACCUGCAGAAGAAGCUGCGGCUAACUACGUGCCAGCAGCCGCGGUAAUACGUAGGCAGCAAGCGUUGUUCGGAGUUACUGGGCGUAAAGAGUGUGUAGGCGGUUCUCUAAGUUCCGUGUGAAAUCUCCCGGCUCAACUGGGAGGGUGCGCGGAAAACUGGAGGGCUUGAGUAUGGGAGAGGAAAGCGGAAUUCCUGGUGUAGCGGUGAAAUGCGUAGAUAUCAGGAGGAACACCUGCGGUGUAGACAGCUUUCUGGACCAUCACUGACGCUGAGACACGAAAGCGUGGUAGCAACAGGAUUAGAUACCCUGUAGUCCACGCCCUAACGAUGCAUACUUGGUGUGAGCCGUUCAUUCGGUUCGUGCCGAGCUAACGCGUUAGUAUGCCGCCUGGGGAGUACGGUCGCAAGCUGAACUCAAGGAAUUGACCGGGGCCCGCUACAAGCGUGAACAUGGGUUUAAUUCGACGCAUCGCGAAGAACCCUUACCUGGGCUCGACGGCUUU